rnacentral:tRNA from 1 species
CGGGGCGUGGCUCAGCUUGGUAGAGCACCUGCCUUGGGAGCAGGGGGUCGCAGGUUCGAAUCCUGUCAGCUCGA